rnacentral:rRNA from 1 species
AACGAACGCUGGCGGCAUGCCUAACACAUGCAAGUCGAACGAGACCUUCGGGUCUAGUGGCGCACGGGUGCGUAACGCGUGGGAAUCUGCCCUUGGGUUCGGAAUAACAGCGAGAAAUUGCUGCUAAUACCGGAUGAUGACGUAAGUCCAAAGAUUUAUCGCCCAAGGAUGAGCCCGCGUAGGAUUAGCUAGUUGGUGAGGUAAAGGCUCACCAAGGCGACGAUCCUUAGCUGGUCUGAGAGGAUGAUCAGCCACACUGGGACUGAGACACGGCCCAGACUCCUAAGGGAGGCGGCAGUGGGGAAUAUUGGACAAUGGGCGAAAGCCUGAUCCAGCAAUGCCGCGUGAGUGAUGAAGGCCUUAGGGUUGUAAAGCUCUUUUACCCGGGAUGAUAAUGACAGUACCGGGAGAAUAAGCUCCGGCUAACUCCGUGCCAGCAGCCGCGGUAAU